rnacentral:misc_RNA from 1 species
GAUGAAGAACGUAGUGAAAUGCGAUAAGUAAUGUGAAUUGCAGAAUUCAGUGAAUCAUCGAAUCUUUGAACGCGCAUUGCGCCCCUUGGUAUUCCGAGGGGCAUGCCUGUUCGAGCGUCAUUUCAACCCUCAAGCACAGCUUGGUCUUGGGCUUCGCCGCUAACCCGGCGGGUCUUAAAAUCAGUGGCGGUGCCGUCGGGCCCUGAGCGCAGUAAUCUCUCUCGCUAUAGGGUCCCGGCGGAUGCUGGCCAGUAACCCCCAAUUUUCUAUGGUUGACCUCGGAUCAGGUAGGGAUACCCGCUGAACUUAAGCAUAUCAAUAAGCGGAGGA